rnacentral:ncRNA from 2 species
GCACCCGGCACGGGGUGCGCCGCCAGGCGCUGAGAUCACACCCGUCGAACCUGACGCAGCUCGUACUGACGAAGGGAUGUCGCCCAUGACCCUC